CAAGUGCCAGAGCUGGAUCUCACUCUAUUUAUAUGAUGUGAUGGUGUGUGUUAAACUUUGGAGAACAGAGAAGAUUCCAGUCCAAACAACACACACCAUGUUCUCUACAUCUCUACUGCUCCUGCUGGCAGCUGCUUCUUAUGUGCAUGGUGAGGAACUGACUCAGCCUGCUUCCAUGACAGUCCAGCCAGGCCAGAGUCUCUCCAUCCAGUGCAAGGUUUCAUAUUCAGUUACAAGCUAUAGUACGGCUUGGAUUCGACAACCUGCAGGAAAAACUCUGGAGUGGGUCACACUUAUGGGUUAUGAUUUUAAAACUUACUACAGUGAGAAACUGAAAAGCAGGUUUCAGGUUUCCACAGACACGUCCAGCAACACAGUGACAUUAACAGGACAGAACAUGCAGACUGAAGACACAGCUGUGUAUUACUGCGCUCGGGAACCACACAGUGAGAUGAAUAAGCAACAUCUCUGUACAAAAACUCCUCAUUUAGUGUUCACAAUAACAACACACAAGGCACAACACUGAUCUAUAGGAGUCGAACAAAAUGUAAAAUAAAU